UACGGAGGGGGUUAGCGUUGUUCGGAAUGACUGGGCGUAAAGCGCGCGUAGGCGGAUCAGGAAGUUGGGGGGGAAAUCCCGGGGCUCAAUCCCGGAAUGGCCUUCAAAACUCCUGGUCUUAAGUUCGAGAGAGGUGAGUGGAAUUCCGAGUGUAGAGGUGAAAUUCGUAGAUAUUCGGAGGAACACCAGUGGCGAAGGCGGCUCACUGGCUCGACACUGACGCUGAGGUGCGAAAGCGUGGGGAGCAAACAGG
rnacentral:rRNA from 1 species